AACCGGUCUGGCAUUCGUGAUACAUGCGGUAAGCGGAGUGGUCCAUCUCCAGCUCUUCUCCCGGCUGAAGCGGCUGCAGACCGGGCACAUAGACUUUCUCCUGCCCGUCCCCGUUCUGUUCUUCUCCUUCCAUAUCAUCCUCGUCGCUUUCACUCGCCUCCAUGUCCUCAAACUCAUCCUCCUCCUCCUGCGGCAGCGUGUGUUCGUCGGACGCGGACAUUUUGAGAAAGCGGCGGAUUUCCGCUUCACGCCACGUGGUUUAAAGCGCUCGUCUGACGAGGCCGCUGCUCAUCCACAGUUUCUCCAUUCUCCACUUUCUCUUCCUCCUCUAAUGCCGGAUUUCCUUGAUCAGCUUCACUUGGUGUGGGGAAGAUGCAGGGAUGCUCUCCGAAAGCACAAUCCAAACUGAGCCAUCGCGUGAAGAGGGAUGAGGUUGAGAAUAGAAGACCUUCAGGUGAUGACUCAACAGAUGGAAAAGCAGAGAGAUCUGGAAGUUCUAGGAUUUUCUGUUUACAAAAGAUGACAAAUAACAUUGAAGAUCUCUCAGUAAUCAAUAAUGUAAAUAUGUUGCUACAGCAUUUUAAAAUUAUGCUAUGAUUAUGGUAGGAUAAAAAGGAGAUGCAAAUGUAUGUAGAAUUUAUAUAUGACAGUACCUCUUUUGCUAUGUUGUCCAAUGUGUGCGUCAGCUCGCUGAUGAACCCGUAUUUGAGGUGAACUCUGUUGAGGUGUUGGAGGAGCUGAAGCCAAGAAUGUGACAGGAUUGCAGCAGCACUGAACACACAACACUACACUCACACACACAAAGACACAACAAAUCAAAAUUAGGUCUCGGUAUUUAAUAAAGUUUAUAAAAACUGUCAA
rnacentral:lncRNA from 1 species